UCUCAAUGAUGUAAUUCCAAUAGAUCCUUCUGACCCUCCCCUGUGGACUCAAGUAGCAGGGAGAUGAAGAAGAAGAAAGUGACUGAGAGA